rnacentral:rRNA from 1 species
CCUACGGGGGGCUGCAGUGGGGAAUCUUGCGCAAUGGGCGAAAGCCUGACGCAGCAACGCCGCGUGCGGGAAGAAGGCUCUCGGGUUGUAAACCGCUUUCAGCAGGAACGAAAAUGACGGUACUUGCAGAAGAAGGUGCGGCCAACUACGUGCCAGCAGCCGCGGUGACACGUAGGCACCAAGCGUUGUCCGGAUUUAUUGGGCGUAAAGAGCUCGUAGGCGGUUCGGUAAGUCGGGUGUGAAAUCUCGGGGAUUAACGCCGAGCCUGCAUCCGAUACUGCUGUGACUAGAGGUCGGUAGGGGAGUGGGGAAUUCCUAGUGUAGCGGUGAAAUGCGCAGAUAUUAGGAGGAACGCCGGUGGCGAAGGCGCCACUCUGGGCCGAUACUGACGCUGAGGAGGGAAAGCGUGGGGAGCAAACAGGAUUAGAUACCCUAGUAGUC